rnacentral:rRNA from 1 species
GAUCAUGGCUCAGAUUGAACGCUGGCGGCAGGCCUAAUACAUGCAAGUCGAACGGUAACAUAGGAAAAGCUUGCUUUUCUGAUGACGAGUGGCGGACGGGUGAGUAAUAUUGGGAAGCUACCUGAUAGAGGGGGACAACAGUUGGAAACGACUGCUAAUACCGCAUACAGCCUGAGGGUGAAAGCAGCGAUGCGCUAUCAGAUGCGCCCAAAUGGGAUUAGCUAGUAGGUGAGGUAAAGGCUCACCUAGGCGACGAUCUCUAGCUGGUCUGAGAGGAUGAUCAGCCACAUUGGGACUGAGACACGGCCCAGACUCCUACGGGAGGCAGCAGUAGGGAAUAUUGCACAAUGGAGGAAACUCUGAAUGCAGCCAUGCCGCGUGUGUGAAGAAGGCCUUCGGGUUGUAAAGCACUUUCGGAGGGGAGGAGAAUGACGUUACCCUCAGAAGAAGCACCGGCUAACUCCGUGCCAGCCGCCGC